rnacentral:misc_RNA from 1 species
UAUUUUGUGGACAAGAGGUUGGGAAUGUAACAAGCUAUGCAUCUUCUGGAGCAACCUCAGACCAUUCUACCUCUAGUUCUCUAUUUGUAAAGGGAGUGGCUCCAAAUGGUUCUCCCCCAUGGCGGGAAGAUGACAAGGAUGGCCAUUACAUGUUUGCGAUUGGAGAAAAUUUAACUUCUCGCUAUAAGAUACACAGCAAGAUGGGUGAAGGC